UAAAGAUACUGACUGAAUGCCCUAAAG
rnacentral:piRNA from 1 species